UGAGCCAUUAUCCAGGUAUUGUUCUUCCAUUGGAGGCGGAUAACAUAUUUGGAAUGUAUUUAGAAAAAUAACAAAUAGGGUCGGCGCACAUUCCCGAAAAGUGCCACCUGACGUCUAAGAAAGCAUAUUAUCAUGACAUACCUAUAAAAAUAGCGUAUCACGAGCCGUUCGUCUCGCGCGUUUCGUGAUGACGUGAAAACUCUGACACAUGCAGCUCCCGGAGACGGUCACAGCUGUCUGUAAGCGGAUGCCGGGAGCAGACAAGCCCGUCAGGGCGCGUCAGCGGGUGUUGGCGGGUGUCGGGGCUGGCUUAACUAUGCGGCAUCAGAGCAGAUUGUACUGAGAGUGCACCAUAUGCGGUGUGAAAUACCGCACAGAUGCGUAAGGAGAAAAUACCGCAUCAGGCGCCAUUCGCCAUUCAGGCUGCGCAACUGUUGGGAAGGGCGAUCGGUGCGGGCCUCUUCGCUAUUACGCCAGCUGGCGAAAGGGGGAUGUGCUGCAAGGCGAUUAAGUUGGGUAACGCCAGGGUUUUCCCAGUCACGACGUUGUAAAACGACGGCCAGUGAAUUCGAGCUCGGUACCGUAAUACGACUCACUAUAGGGCGACAUAUGAUCGAUGAUAUCCCAUGGGCGGCCGCCUGCAGACCAGGUCUCAGGGGACAUCCUUAUGCUUGCCGCAAAGUAUGUAUGAAGGAGCACGAAGGUAUGGACAAGAAAACCUCUCAAACGGCAAAUAAAAGCCUGCUCGCAAACCUCGCUGAAAAAAAACGCGCGUAUGACGCGCUCGACGCCAAGGAUAAACAGCGCUGGUGGGGCGACUUUCUGCUCAACAACGCGAUCUACAUCGUGCUCGUGAUCCUCGUGAUCUACGUGGAGAUCUACACGCUGACAAACGCGAAGUUUGCCACCACCUUCCUCUCGUUCGAGUCGAUCAUCGACGUUCUGAAAAAGGCGGCCUCGGGGAGCUUCCUCGCGCUCGGCGUGGGCGGCAUCAUCGUGCUUACGGGCACGGACCUUUCCGCAGGCCGCAUCAUGGGUCUUUCGAUGCUGGUAUCGGCAUCGCUCCUGCAAAAGCCGGUGAGCGAAUACACGAGCAAAAUGUUCCCGAAAUGACCGCUGCCUACUAUGGAAGACUGGAGAUCUGGAUCCCUCGAGUCUAGAGUCGACCUGCAGGCAUGCAAGCUGGCGUAAUCAUGUCAUGUUCCUC
rnacentral:rRNA from 1 species